CCUUGCGGUGCUGAAGCAGCACAGAAUGGUUUGUGGGUAAUACAGGGAUACAGGCUGUACUGUGCUGUUGCAGUAACGCCUGG
rfam:Salmo salar isolate Sally breed double haploid chromosome ssa17, whole genome shotgun sequence.